GGGUUGUGAGGUUAAGCGACUAAGCGUACACGGUGGAUGCCCUGGCAGUCAGAGGCGAUGAAGGACGUGCUAAUCUGCGAAAAGCGUCGGUAAGGUGAUAUGAACCGUUACAGCCGGCGAUGUCCGAAUGGGGAAACCCAGUGUGAUUCGUCACACUAUCGUUAACUGAAUACAUAGGUUAACGAGGCGAACCGGGGGAACUGAAACAUCUAAGUACCCCGAGGAAAAGAAAUCAACCGAGAUUCCCCCAGUAGCGGCGAGCGAACGGGGAGCAGCCCAGAGUCUGAAUCAGCUUGUGUGUUAGUGGAACGGUCUGGAAAGUCCGACGGUACAGGGUGAUAGUCCCGUACACCAAAAUGCACAGGCUGUGAACUCGAAGAGUAGGGCGGGACACGUGGUAUCCUGUCUGAAUAUGGGGGGACCAUCCUCCAAGGCUAAAUACUCCUGACUGACCGAUAGUGAACCAGUACCGUGAGGGAAAGGCGAAAAGAACCCCGGCGAGGGGAGUGAAAAGAACCUGAAACCGUGUACGUACAAGCAGUGGGAGCACCUUCGGGUGUGACUGCGUACCUUUUGUAUAAUGGGUCAGCGACUUAUAUUCUGUAGCAAGGUUAACCGUAUAGGGGAGCCGCAGGGAAACCGAGUCUUAACUGGGCGUUAAGUUGCAGGGUAUAGACCCGAAACCCGGUGAUCUAGCCAUGGGCAGGUUGAAGGUUGGGUAACACUAACUGGAGGACCGAACCGACUAAUGUUGAAAAUUAGCGGAUGACUUGUGGCUGGGGGUGAAAGGCCAAUCAAACCGGGAGAUAGCUGGUUCUCCCCGAAAGCUAUUUAGGUAGCGCCUCGUGAAUUCAUCUUCGGGGGUAGAGCACUGUUUCGGCUAGGGGGUCAUCCCGACUUACCAACCCGAUGCAAACUACGAAUACCGAAGAAUGUUAUCACGGGAGACACACGGCGGGUGCUAACGUCCGUCGUGAAGAGGGAAACAACCCAGACCGCCAGCUAAGGUCCCAAAGUCACAGUUAAGUGGGAAACGAUGUGGGAAGGCACAGACAGCCAGGAUGUUGGCUUAGAAGCAGCCAUCAUUUAAAGAAAGCGUAAUAGCUCACUGGUCGAGUCGGCCUGCGCGGAAGAUGUAACGGGGCUAAACUGUGCACCGAAGCUGCGGCAGCGACACUAUGUGUUGUUGGGUAGGGGAGCGUUCUGUAAGCCUGCGAAGGUGGCCUGUGAGGGUUGCUGGAGGUAUCAGAAGUGCGAAUGCUGACAUAAGUAACGAUAAUGCGGGUGAAAAGCCCGCACGCCGGAAGACCAAGGGUUCCUGUCCAACGUUAAUCGGGGCAGGGUGAGUCGACCCCUAAGGCGAGGCCGAAAGGCGUAGUCGAUGGGAAACAGGUUAAUAUUCCUGUACUUGGUGUUACUGCGAAGGGGGGACGGAGAAGGCUAUGUUAGCCGGGCGACGGUUGUCCCGGUUUAAGCAUGUAGGCGGAGGUUCCAGGUAAAUCCGGUACCUUUUUAACGCUGAGGUGUGAUGACGAGGCACUACGGUGCUGAAGUAACAAAUGCCCUGCUUCCAGGAAAAGCCUCUAAGCAUCAGGUAACAUUGAAUCGUACCCCAAACCGACACAGGUGGUCAGGUAGAGAAUACCAAGGCGCUUGAGAGAACUCGGGUGAAGGAACUAGGCAAAAUGGUGCCGUAACUUCGGGAGAAGGCACGCUGAUAUGUAGGUGAAGCCCCUGCGGGUGGAGCUGAAAUCAGUCGAAGAUACCAGCUGGCUGCAACUGUUUAUUAAAAACACAGCACUGUGCAAACACGAAAGUGGACGUAUACGGUGUGACGCCUGCCCGGUGCCGGAAGGUUAAUUGAUGGGGUUAUCCGUAAGGAGAAGCUCUUGAUCGAAGCCCCGGUAAACGGCGGCCGUAACUAUAACGGUCCUAAGGUAGCGAAAUUCCUUGUCGGGUAAGUUCCGACCUGCACGAAUGGCGUAAUGAUGGCCAGGCUGUCUCCACCCGAGACUCAGUGAAAUUGAACUCGCUGUGAAGAUGCAGUGUACCCGCGGCAAGACGGAAAGACCCCGUGAACCUUUACUAUAGCUUGACACUGAACAUUGAGCCUUGAUGUGUAGGAUAGGUGGGAGGCUUUGAAGCGUGGACGCCAGUCUGCGUGGAGCCAACCUUGAAAUACCACCCUUUAAUGUUUGAUGUUCUAACGUUGGCCCCUUAUCGGGGUUGCGGACAGUGUCUGGUGGGUAGUUUGACUGGGGCGGUCUCCUCCCAAAGAGUAACGGAGGAGCACGAAGGUUAGCUAAUCCUGGUCGGACAUCAGGAGGUUAGUGCAAUGGCAUAAGCUAGCUUGACUGCGAGCGUGACGGCGCGAGCAGGUGCGAAAGCAGGUCAUAGUGAUCCGGUGGUUCUGAAUGGAAGGGCCAUCGCUCAACGGAUAAAAGGUACUCCGGGGAUAACAGGCUGAUACCGCCCAAGAGUUCAUAUCGACGGCGGUGUUUGGCACCUCGAUGUCGGCUCAUCACAUCCUGGGGCUGAAGUAGGUCCCAAGGGUAUGGCUGUUCGCCAUUUAAAGUGGUACGCGAGCUGGGUUUAGAACGUCGUGAGACAGUUCGGUCCCUAUCUGCCGUGGGCGCUGGAGAAUUGAGGGGGGCUGCUCCUAGUACGAGAGGACCGGAGUGGACGCAUCACUGGUGUUCGGGUUGUCAUGCCAAUGGCAUUGCCCGGUAGCUAAAUGCGGAAGAGAUAAGUGCUGAAAGCAUCUAAGCACGAAACUUGCCCCGAGAUGAGUUCUCCCUGACUCCUUGAGAGUCCUGAAGGAACGUUAAAGACGAUGACGUUGAUAGGUCGGGUGUGUAAGCGUAGCGAUACGUUGAGCUAACCGAUACUAAUGAACCGUGAGGCUUAACCUUACAACGCCGAAG
rnacentral:rRNA from 1 species